GUCCAAGCCGCGGCUCGAGCACAUAUUCCGUGCGCCCGCAGAUCAAUUUCAGCGUUUACUACUAAACCAUUGAUACCAAGUGAUACAGGCAACGUCCGCACAUUUACCCACAUUACUUGAGAAUUGUGGAGUAUCAAAUAUCAACUUCAACCUUCAGAGAGGAGGAGAUGUUCGGAAAUCAAAAGAUUAACAGAUGAUUAAUGCAACGACGUCAUACUAUAUCAAUUGAAGACGAUUGCGUUUUUUCGAGCAUUCUACAAAAUUAACUUUAACCGUUCAAUUCAAGAAGCAGAUGAUCCGUGGAUUAUUCAUUUGGAAUCAAACUAGUCUAAAAACAAGCGAUUCAGGCCAAGAACGCUCAUUUACAAACAUUCCUGAAAAUGUGGAGCAUAAGAAAUUGACUUAAAACUCAAAUACCUUUAGAGAGAAGAAAACCAGAAAUCAAAAGAUAACAAGCGAUACAGGCAACGUUCGCACAUUUACGCACAUUACUUGGAAAUUGUGGAGUAUAAAAAUCAACUUAAAUACCUUCAGAGAAGAUAAGAUAAGCAAAAAUCAAAAGGUUAACAGAUGAUUGGCGAUAAGGAAGAUCAAAUCCAGAUCGAAAGAAAAAAUUUAAAAUAAAGUUGAUUUGGAGAUGGAAAUUGCAAAAUCAUUUCUAUAAUUUUUCGCAGCGCCUCGUCGCCAAUGAUCGCACAGUAGUUUUCAAAUUUGUCAAACAGAACGCGCAGUUCUGCAAUAAAUUUAAAAAAAUUAAACAUCGAUAUCCACCAGAGCGCAAGACUUGAUACACGCGUGAUUAAAAGAACCCACAUUUGUAUGUGGAAUGCCGAAAUAAUCACGCCAUAAUCGUGAAACAUACUUUAGCGGCAGUGGUUCCCAAACUUUUUAGAGUUGGGACCCACUAUUUAUUACCAAAGCUUAUGGCGACCCACUUAACUUUAAUUUCAUUUUGGUUUUUUAGGACAUUAUACAGAACACAGCAAUGGCUAAC